rnacentral:misc_RNA from 1 species
UUUCCGUAGGUGAACCUGCGGAAGGAUCAUUAAAGUUAUAGUCCCCCGGCCCUCUGGGCUGGGGUCUUCUAUACCACCCUUUGUUUAUUACACCUUUGUGGCUUUGGCAGGCCUGCCCUCGGGCUGCUGGCUCCGGCCGGCUCGCGUCUGCCAGAGGACCUAAACUCUGUUUGUAUAUGAAGUCUGAGUACUAUAAAAUAGUUAAAACUUUCAACAACGGAUCUCUUGGUUCUG